AUCUACAGCCAUGCCACCCUGAACAAGCCCGAUCUUGUCUGAUCUUUGAAGCUAAGCAGGAUCGGGCCUGGUUAGUACUUGGAUGGGAGACCACCUAGGAAGACCAGGUGUUGUAGGCA
rnacentral:rRNA from 1 species